rnacentral:rRNA from 1 species
AGAUGGAUUGGUGCCUUCGGGAACUGUGAGACAGGUGCUGCAUGGCUGUCGUCAGCUCGUGUUGUGAAAUGUUGGGUUAAGUCCCGCAACGAGCGCAACCCUUAUCCUUUGUUGCCAGCGGUCCGGCCGGGAACUCAAAGGAGACUGCCAGUGAUAAACUGGAGGAAGGUGGGGAUGACGUCAAGUCAUCAUGGCCCUUACGACCAGGGCUACACACGUGCUACAAUGGCGCAUACAAAGAGAAGCGACCUCGCGAGAGCAAGCGGACCUCAUAAAGUGCGUCGUAGUCCGGAUUGGAGUCUGCAACUCGACUCCAUGAAGUCGGAAUCGCUAGUAAUCGUGGAUCAGAAUGCCACGGUGAAUACGUUCCCGGGCCUUGUACACACCGCCCGUCACACCAUGGGAGUGGGUUGCAAAAGAAGUAGGUAGCUUAACCUUCGGGAGGGCGCUUACCACUUUGUGAUUCAUGACUGGGGUGAAGUCGUAACAAGGUAACCGUAGGGGAAC